rnacentral:RNase_P_RNA from 1 species
CAGGCUGGUCGGGCAGCCGCGGCAUCCCUUUGCGGGAUGUCGAGGAAAGUCCGCGCUCCACAGGGCACGAUGUCGGGUAACACCCGGGGCGGGGCAACCUGCCAGAUCGGGCCACAGAAACAUACCACCCCGCAAGGGGCAAGGGUGAAACGGCGGUGUAAGAGACCACCGGCGCCGCAGUAAUGCGGCGGCCAGGCAACCCUCAUCGGGAGCAAGGCCAAGCAGGAACGGGAGGCGGCCCGCCUCAAUAUUCCCCGGGAUAGCGAUAUCCCGCGGGAUAGAAGUUCCGGGUAGGCUGCUUGAGCGGGCUGGCAACAGUCCGCCUAGAGAGAUGGCUGCUCAUACCGGUGCGCGUGUCCCCCUCGGGGGAGACCCGCCGGUUGGACAGAACGCGGCUUAUAGACUGACCUGAGGC